UGAGGAAUAUUGGGCAAUGGGCGAAAGCCUGACCCAGCGACGCCGCGUGGGUGACGAAGGCCUUCGGGUCGUAAAACCCUUUUGGCAGGGACGAGUGAGGACGGUACCUGUCGAAUAAGUCUCGGCUAACUACGUGCCAGCAGCCGCGGUAAAACGUAGGAGGCGAGCGUUAUCCGGAUUUACUGGGCGUAAAGCGCGCGUAGGCGGUUGGGUAAGUCUGACGUGAAAGCCCCUGGCUCAACUGGGGGAGGCCGUUGGAUACUGCCCGGCUUGAGGGUGAUAGAGGAGAGUGGAAUUCCCGGUGUAGCGGUGGAAUGCGUAGAGAUCGGGAGGAACACCAGUGGCGAAAGCGGCUCUCUGGCUCACACCUGACGCUGAUUGCGCGAAAGCGUGGGUAGCAAACGGG
rnacentral:rRNA from 1 species